AACGAACGUUGGCGGCGUGGAUUAGGCAUGCAAGUCGUACGUGAAAGGUUUCGCAAGAGACCGAGUAAAGUGGCGGAAGGGUGAGUAAUGCAUAGAUAACUUGCCCCUGAGAUGGGGAAUAACUACUCGAAAGGGUUGCUAAUACCCAAUAUGACCACGGGUCACAUGAUCCGUGCUAAAAGGCGGGGACCCGCAAGGGCCUGCCACUCAGGGAGAGGUUUAUGUCCUAUUAGCUAGNGGUGAGGUAACGGCUCACCAAGGCUGUGAUGGGUAGCCGACCUGAGAGGGUGACCGGCCACACUGGAACUGAGAAACUGUCCAGACUCCUAC
rnacentral:rRNA from 1 species